rnacentral:rRNA from 1 species
UACGUAGGGGGCAAGCGUUGUCCGGAUUUAUUGGGUUUAAAGGGUGCGUAGGCGGCCCUGUAAGUCAGUUGUGAAAUACGGCAGCUUAACUGUCGAGGUGCAAUUGAUACUGCAGGGCUUGAGUACUGAUGAGGUAGGCGGAAUGGACGGUGUAGCGGUGAAAUGCUUAGAGAUCGUCCAGAACACCGAUAGCGAAGGCAGCUUACUAAGGAGUAACUGACGCUGAGGCACGAAAGUGUGGGGAUCAAACAGG